rnacentral:rRNA from 1 species
AGUAACACGUAUCCAACCUGCCGUCUACUCUUGGACAGCCUUCUGAAAGGAAGAUUAAUACAAGAUGGCAUCAUGAGUCCGCAUGUUCACAUGAUUAAAGGUAUUCCGGUAGACGAUGGGGAUGCGUUCCAUUAGAUAGUAGGCGGGGUAACGGCCCACCAAGGCAACGAUGGGUAGCCGGUCUGAGAGGAUGACCGGCCACACUGGAACUGGAACACGGUCCAG